rfam:Lupinus angustifolius cultivar Tanjil chromosome LG06, whole genome shotgun sequence.
UGAGAAGUUUACCAUUUGAAAAAUAUGCAUAAAUGUUCCAGUUAAUCGAUUAACAUAGUAACUUAAUCGAUUAACUCAAUUGCUUUUCCUUUAAAUAUGUGUUUUCUGUUUUAACUGAAUUAUGUGUCAUUCCGUUGUCCUGAUAGAGCUCUAUGCACGCACUCCAAAAGGGAAUCGAGUUAAAAUUCCUAAAUCGAGACGUGGCGGUUGACGAUAAUGUUAGGGAGUCUGGAGACGUCGCUGGGGCCCCGGAAAGAGUUAUCUUUUCUGUUUAACAGCCUGCCCACCCUGGAAACAGCUCAGCCGGAGGUAGGGUACAGCGGCUGGAAGAGCACCGCACGUUGCAUAGUGUUCGGUGCGCCCUCGGUGGCCCUUGAAAAUCUGGAGGACCGAGUGCCUCCCACGCCCGUACGUACUCAUACUGCAUCAGGUCUCCAAGAUGAACAACCUCU